ACGUCUAGUCGUAAACUUUAAUUUACACCCAUAUUCGCCAGGGUACUGCGAGCCAAGCUUAAAACCCAAAGGACUUGACGGUGUUCCAUACCCAACUAGAGGAGCCUGUCCUAUAAUUGAUAAUCCCCGCUUAACCUCACCACCCCUAGCCAAUCAGCUUGUAUACUUCCGUCGUCAGCUUACCACGUGAGCGAACUUCAGUAAGCACAAUGGUUCAUCACCAAUACGUCAGGUCAAAGUGCAGCAUAUGGGGCGGGAAGAGAUGGGNUACACUCUCUAAUGUAGAAUAAACGUAAGGU
rnacentral:rRNA from 1 species